GAUGAACGCUGGCGGCGUGCUUAACACAUGCAAGUCGAACGGUGAAGCAGGAGCUUGCUCUUGUGGAUCAGUGGCGAACGGGUGAGUAACACGUGAGCAACCUGCCCCUGACUCUGGGCUAAGCGCUGGAAACGGCGUCUACUACUGGAUAUGUGAUGUGACCGCAUGGUCUGCAUCUGGAAAGAAUUUCGGUUGGGGAUGGGCUCGCGGCCUAUCAGCUUGUUGGUGAGGUAAUGGCUCACCAAGGCGUCGACGGGUAGCCGGCCUGAGAGGGUGACCGGCCACACUGGGACUGAGACACGGCCCAGACUCCUACGGGAGGCAGCAGUGGGGAAUAUUGCACAAUGGGCGGAAGCCUGAUGCAGCAACGCCGCGUGAGGGAUGACGGCCUUCGGGUUGUAAACCUCUUUUAGCAGGGAAGAAGCGAAAGUGACGGUACCUGCAGAAAAAGCACCGGCUAACUACGUGCCAGCCGCCGCAGUAA
rnacentral:rRNA from 1 species